GUGGGGAAUAUUGCACAAUGGGCGCAAGCCUGAUGCAGCAACGCCGCGUGAGGGACGACGGCCUUCGGGUUGUAAACCUCUUUUAGCAGGGAAGAAGCGAAAGUGACGGUACCUGCAGAAAAAGCACCGGCUAACUACGUGCCAGCAGCCGCGGUAAUACGUAGGGUGCAAGCGUUGUCCGGAAUUAUUGGGCGUAAAGAGCUCGUAGGCGGUUUGUCGCGUCUGCUGUGAAAACCCGAGGCUCAACCUCGGGCCUGCAGUGGGUACGGGCAGACUAGAGUGCGGUAGGGGAGAUUGGAAUUCCUGGUGUAGCGGUGGAAUGCGCAGAUAUCAGGAGGAACACCGAUGGCGAAGGCAGAUCUCUGGGCCGUAACUGACGCUGAGGAGCGAAAGCGUGGGGAGCAAACAGGAUUAGAAACCCUUGUAGUCC
rnacentral:rRNA from 1 species